CCAUAUCUUACUAGAAGCUCUUUAUUUUACAACUGACUAGAAUAUAUAGUAAUGCUUUAGAACUUAGGAGCGGGAAAGUACAAUUGCAAUAGAAAGUAAGUCUGAAAAAUUUAAAAGUGGUAGUUAUUCUGGAGCACAUCAGCUUCUUUCGUUUAGCGAUGAUUUCUCCAGCGGGUUAAUUAUUGAUUUAUAUCUUGAAGCAGACACACACAAAAUGCAACUUACCUUUGAAUCUUUUAGAAAUGAAGUAAGGUUGGUUAAGGUUUGGGUAUAUAUUAA